GAUGAACGCUGGCGGCGUGCCUAAUACAUGCAAGUCGAGCGAACAGAUGAGGAGCUUGCUCCUCUGACGUUAGCGGCGGACGGGUGAGUAACACGUGGAUAACCUGCCUAUAAGACUGGGAUAACUUCGGGAAACCGGAGCUAAUACCGGAUAAUAUAUUGAACCGCAUGGUUCAAUAGUGAAAGACGGUUUUGCUGUCACUUAUAGAUGGAUCCGCGCCGCAUUAGCUAGUUGGUAAGGUAACGGCUUACCAAGGCAACGAUGCGUAGCCGACCUGAGAGGGUGAUCGGCCACACUGGAACUGAGACACGGUCCAGACUCCUACGGGAGGCAGCAGUAGGGAAUCUUCCGCAAAGGGCGAAAGCUUGACGGAGCAACGCCGCGUGAGUGAUGAAGGUCUUCGGAUCGUAAAACUCUGUUAUUAGGGAAGAACAAAUGUGUAAGUAACUAUGCACGUCUUGACGGUACCUAAUCAGAAAGCCACGGCUAACUACGUG
rnacentral:rRNA from 1 species